rnacentral:tRNA from 1 species
GGGCGAGUAGCUCAGUGGGAGAGCAUCCGGCUUACAUCCGGAAGGUCGGGGGUUCGAUCCCCUCCUCGCCCA